AUUGAACGCUGGCGGCAUGCCUUACACAUGCAAGUCGAACGGUAACAGGUCUUCGGAUGCUGACGAGUGGCGAACGGGUGAGUAAUACAUCGGAACGUGCCCAGUAGUGGGGGAUAACUACUCGAAAGAGUGGCUAAUACCGCAUGAGAUCUACGGAUGAAAGCAGGGGAUCGCAAGACCUUGUGCUACUAGAGCGGCCGAUGGCAGAUUAGGUAGUUGGUGGGAUAAAAGCUUACCAAGCCGACGAUCUGUAGCUGGUCUGAGAGGACGAUCAGCCACACUGGGACUGAGAAACGGCCCAGACUCCUACGGGAGGCAGCAGUGGGGAAUUUUGGACAAUGGGCGCAAGCCUGAUUCAGCAAUGCCGCGUGCAGGAUGAAGGCCUUCGGGUUGUAGACUGCUUUCGUACGGAACGAAAAGCCCCGGGUUAAUACCCUGGGGUCAUGACGGUACCGUAAGAAUAAGCACCGGCUAACUACGUGCCAGCCGCCGCAGUAA
rnacentral:rRNA from 1 species